AUAUACUCAAUAGAGAGGCUGCCACAUCAUUUAAUUAAAUCCAUGAAUCAGAAACAAUUAUUUGACCACGUCAGAACAGCUUUGUUUAGAGAAAAUGGGCUUUGGCGUAGUUUCCAAAUUUCACGGCCAUCGAGCCCGACAAUUUCAAAUUUAUGUUCAACAUCUCGAUUCUCUGUAAUCCACUCUUCCACUCUAUCUUCCAUCUUUGUAAUCCCCCUCCUAAUCAAUGAUGCUUUUUAUACCUUCUGGCUGGUUUCGUUCCAAUUUCCGUUCAUCCUCCUCUUAUAUAAAUGGCUUCGUCUAAACCUAAAUCCUAUCAAAAUCGAAACCUAGCAGUAAGAGCAACUGAAACCCCUAAUCGUAGAGCGCCUUUCUGAUCGAUGAGCAGAUUUCUGUUCGUUAAGAUUCAGUUCCACUGUCGUAACGAUUCAGUCCCUCUGAUUAAUUGUUGGUGUGAGUGUGAUUGUAGCCUCUGAGAAAUAAUAUUAAACGAUGGAGAUAACUACAAUCUAUAGCGUGGAAUUGGAAGAGGAUACUUUUGGAGAAAUCUCAGGGCAUCAAGGAGCUGCCACUCGGCUAAGAGAUGGGUCCACUGGACUCACGUUAUUUACUUGGAAAGUAAUCUUUAUCUCUCCCUCUCUUGAGUUUUAGUUUGUCUCAUUCUCCUGGUUUCUUUGUCCAGUUACGGACGAUUCAAAAAUUCACUGUGAGCUAAUCAUAUAGAGACUCAACACCGAAAGAUACACCUCUAAUUUGAUGUUGCUUUGUUUUAAUCCCCAGUCUUGAAUUUUGCACUACCUUUCCUUUUAAAAAUAAAUAUCUUCUUAGUUUAACUACAAGUGAAUUAAUAUAAUUACAAAGAUUAAGUGAUUGUGAAUAUAUGGCUAAUAUAUAUAAUGAUGUGUUUUCCUGUGAAACUGUUUGGUGUCACUUUGUCCCAAUGAUAGGAAAGAUUCAACGGCACUUUUCCACUUUUAUCUUCUAGGUCCCUGAAUCUACAAUCACACUUUGAUGAUCUAAUUAUCGUACUGCAAAAUUGAAUUAUUCUACCUUUGAUUUGGUUCGUAUAUGUUGUGUUAUGUUCCAUGGGUUUCUAUGCUUGAACGCGCAUUCUAUCAAUCAUAUUGACUUAUUUUCCUGUCUGAGAAUAUUUUUCUACAUUAUUUUUCUUAUGGAUUUGCUUCCUACUUCUUCAAAGAGGAGUAUAUUUUAAGUGGCUCACGAUAUCAAAAAAACUCCUUCGGGAAAUGUUACAGCUAUUGCCAAUGUUAAAUUUCAGCUAAUGAUUGGUACCCGGUUAAAGUAAGAGUGACUUUGUUUUCUUUCCUUCUCCAGAGUCUCACAAGGUUUGGGAUUUUAUUGCAUCUGAUCAUUAUUGCUGUGAGAAAUGGGUAUAGGGAGAUGAAAGUAUCAUCAAAGAUAUCAGAGGGCACAUGAAGGAGAAUAACAUAUUUGGAUUGAGAGUGAUGAUAUUUUGCGGACAGACCAAAUUCAGCAUCAAGUCAACGUUCAUGAGAGAGAGAGGCAUACAAAGCAGCUAAAAAAUAUUGACCAAGGUGAUGAAGCUGUUGAACCAGACAAGGUUUCCUAUGGACUAAUGAAAAAGAAAGAGAAUGACGAUGUGGAUGUCAAAUUUGGUAAAGGCUGGCUGCUUCUUUACAGGUAUAUAGAAAUAUUAGCCCUGUUCUUUUACCAUUCGUGGCGUCAGCGGUAGCGAUAGAGCAAAACGACGGUGACUGAAUUGAAUAAUAAAGCAAAACGACGUUGACUGAGCUAUUUAUUGCCGCUGGGUAACGAAGCAGCAGAUUUUUUUUGCAAACAGAGGUUCUCACUGAAAAUAUUAGCGUCCAUGAAAGACGUCACGGACAACACCUGCGAUCACUUCCAGCGAUUAUUUAUGUUUCCACCAUGCUACUUUUCUCUCAACUAAAGUUACUUUUUCUUGCUGCUGUCGCUACCGCAGCUAUUCCUUAACGAGCAGGGCUAUUAUAUAUUGUACAAUCCUUCAGAUUCAAUCGUGUUUCAGUUAUGAACAAUACAGCAAAGUGAGUCUGCAUGUAAUAUUCUUUGGGAAUUUAUGUGUGACUCAUAAAAUGUAGUUGACACAUCAAAACAUUACUGUCAUGUUUGUUUCGCA